rnacentral:rRNA from 1 species
UACGAAGGGGGCUAGCGUUGUCCGGAAUUACUGGGCGUAAAGGGCGCGUAGGCGGUUUGCUAAGUUGGAUGUGAAAACUCUGGGCUUAACCCAGAGCCUGCAUCCAAAACUGGCAAACUUGAGUACUGGAGGGGAAAGCGGAAUUCCUGGUGUAGCGGUGAAAUGCGUAGAUAUCAGGAGGAACACCGGUGGCGAAGGCGGCUUUCUGGACAGUAACUGACGCUGAGGCGCGAAAGCUAGGGGAGCAAACAGG